GACGGAGGAUGCAAGCGUUAUCCGGAAUUAUUGGGCGUAAAGCGUCCGCAGGUGGCUGUUCAAGUCUGCUGUCAAAGCGCAGAGCUUAACCCUGGAAAGGCGGUGGAAACUGAAGCGCUAGAGUGCGGUAGGGGUAGAGGGAAUUCCCGGUGUAGCGGUGAAAUGCGUAGAGAUCGGGAAGAACAUCGGUGGCGAAAGCGCUCUACUGGACCGCAACUGACACUCAGGGACGAAAGCUAGGGGAGCGAAUGGG
rnacentral:rRNA from 1 species